rnacentral:lncRNA from 1 species
UUUUAUUGCUUGUUUUGAUUGACUUUCUUAGUUUUGUGUACUUCACAUGUGCAUGCUGAUCUGCUGUUCCUAAUUGGAUCUUUUCUUUGCUUUCUUCAUCUAUUCUAGAGUUGUCUUAGGCAAUAGACCUGCUGUGCUUUCAUUGCUUUAAACUGUCCUGCUUGUCUCUAGUGUCUGUCCAUUACUGUGAACUUUGCCUAGCCAAUCUGGU